rnacentral:sRNA from 1 species
CGGCCGGGAGGUCCCCUGUCGAAAAGGGAAGCCGGUGUGCUGGGUGCUUAGGGCAUGUCCCGGGACACGCUCAGGCCAGAGCCUUGCUGGAUGUGCCCUUGGUGGGACUUGGGAUGGAAACCCAGACGUUUUACUCCCCGCUCUGAGCACAUCGUUAUCCCUCCCCGCCCCUCACCAGGCUGCUGAAUAACGAGGGAUCACUGCUGGCCUACUCUGGUUACGGGGACACUGACGCCCGGGUCACCGCUGCCAUAGCCAGUAACAUCUGGGCCGCCUACGACCGGAACGGGAACCAAGCGUUUAAUGAAGACAAUCUCAAAUUCAUCCUCAUGGACUGCAUGGAGGGCCGUGUAGCCAUCACCCGAGUGGCCAACCUUCUGCUGUGUAUGUAUGCCAAGGAGACCGUGGGCUUUGGAAUGCUCAAGGCCAAGGCCCAGGCUUUGGUGCAGUACCUGGAGGAGCCCCUCACCCAAGUGGCGGCAUCUUAACGGCAUUGGUGGAAGCUGGGGUCAGAAAAGAGAAAUGACCAUUUGGAGGGGCGGGGCCUCCUAGAAGAACCUUCUUAGACAAUGGGGGGAGGAUGGGACUUUGUUUUUUCCAAGAAUAAACUUCAACUCCUGUCA